GUUAAAUUUUCUUUACUUAUUGCCAGUUGUGUGGGACUUUUUCUGUCAUUUUAUAUAAAUAAUGUUUCAAACUGUUUAUGUCAUUUAUACUCUAAAUGAAAAAUAAUCUUAUUCAGAUUGUCUCAUACAACUGCCAAUGACUUAAUUCAAUUGAAAAGCGAAGAGAUGUUUUAGACUAUCUAAGAGCAAAAGAUUGUAGCAUGUAUUGUCUUCAAGAUACACACUUUUCAGAAAAAGAUGAACAAUUUGUUAAGAAUCAAUGGGGUGGAGAAUGCGUCUUUAGUUCCUUUUUUUCAAAUCAAAGAGGAGUGGCCAUUUUAUUUAAUAAUAAUUUUGAAUAUAAGAUUUUACAAAGCAAAAAAGAUCAAAAUGGAAAUCUAUUAGGAUUGAAUAUUAAAAUUGAAGAUAGCAAUAUUACUUUAAUUACAUUAUAUGGUCCAAAUAGUGACAGUCCUGAUUUUAAUGAUAAAGUUAGCGAAAUAAUUGAAGAAUUUGAUAAUCAUACUGUCAUUGUGACAGGAGAUUAUAACUUAGUGCAAAAUCAAGACCUUGAUACUUUUAAUUACUUAAAUAUAAAUAAUCCAAAAGCUAAGGAAAAAGUGUUAGAUAUAAAGGAAAUUUACAACUUAACUGAUCCAUUUAGAGAACUAUAUCCAGAAAGUAAAAGAUAUACUUGGAGGAAACCAAACCCUAUAAAACAGGCCAGA
rnacentral:lncRNA from 1 species